GCGCCCAUAGCUCAGUCGGUAGAGCAAUCGCCUCUUAAGCGAAGGGUCGUUGGUUCGAUUCCAACUGGGCGCA
rnacentral:tRNA from 2 species